AAAAGGGGGGGUUCAGAUGAAUCUGCACUUUGGUCAUUAAAGGACCUUUCGCAAGAUUCUUCAUAUCUCAGCUUCUGAAUGAAACUUGGGGUGUGGAGAAGCGUCUUCCCGAGGAAGGGCCUGUGUGAAUGCUUUACAAAUACUUUGACAAUAUCUGAGAUUUGUACCUAAUCAUCUGUCUCUGGACACUGCGGCUGUAGGGAAAACACCAAAGAGCGCAACGCUUGUCACGAAAGGAGGGAAAAAACUCAGACAUUUCUCUUCAACAGCAACACGUAAUGCUGGGCAAAGGGCUGGCGGAUGAGGUGCUUC